UACGAAGGGGGCUAGCGUUGUUCGGAAUUACUGGGCGUAAAGCGCGCGCAGGCGGCCCAUCAAGUCAGGGGUGAAAGCCCGGAGCUCAACUCCGGAAUUGCCUUUGAAACUGGUGGGCUUGAGUACGGGAGAGGUGAGUGGAAUUCCCAGUGUAGAGGUGAAAUUCGUAGAUAUUGGGAAGAACACCGGUGGCGAAGGCGGCUCACUGGCCCGUUUCUGACGCUGAGGCGCGAAAGCGUGGGGAGCAAACAGG
rnacentral:rRNA from 1 species